rnacentral:rRNA from 1 species
UACGGGAGGCAGCAGUGGGGAAUAUUGGACAAUGGGCGAAAGCCUGAUCCAGCCAUGCCGCAUGAGUGAAGAAGGCCUUCGGGUUGUAAAGCUCUUUUAGUGAGAAAGAUAAAUGACGGUACUCACAGAAGAAGUCCUGGCUAACUCCGUGCCAGCAGCCGCGGUAAUACGGAGAGGGCUAGCGUUAUUCGGAAUUAUUGGGCGUAAAGAGCGCGUAGGCUGAUUAGUAAGUUAAAAGUGAAAUCCCAAAGCUUAACUUUGGAAUUGCUUUUUAAAACUGCUAGUCUAGAGAUUGAAAGAGGAUAGAGGAAUUCCUAGUGUAGAGGUGAAAUUCGUAAAUAUUAGGAGGAACACCAGUGGCGAAGGCGUCUAUCUGGUUCAAAUCUGACGCUGAGGCGCGAAGGCGUGGGGAGCGAAACAGGGAUUAGAUACCCGU